UACGGAGGAUCCGAGCGUUAUCCGGAUUUAUUGGGUUUAAAGGGUGCGUAGGCGGCCUUUAAAGUCAGCGGUGAAAGUCUGUGGCUCAACCAUAGAAUUGCCGUUGAAACUGGGAGGCUUGAGUAUGUUUGAGGCAGGCGGAAUGCGUGGUGUAGCGGUGAAAUGCUUAGAUAUCACGCAGAACCCCGAUUGCGAAGGCAGCCUGCCAAGCCAUGACUGACGCUGAUGCACGAAAGCGUGGGGAUCAAACAGG
rnacentral:rRNA from 1 species